rnacentral:rRNA from 1 species
AUGCCGCCGCCGCCGGCGACGCUGCCGGACGAGCUCCUCGAGGAGAUCCUCCUCCGCCUCCCGCCGGACGACCCCGGGUGCCUCUUCCGCGCCUCCCUCGUCUACAAGCCCUGGCGCAGCCGCCUCACCGGCCCCGCCUUCUCCCGCCUCUACCGCGAGUUCCACCGGACGCCUCCCUUGCUGGGAUUCUUCGAGAACGACGAGAUGAUACUGUGCUGGUUUUCUCCCUUGUCCCUAUUAGACUAG